GCCUGGGUGGCUCAGUCAGUUGAGCAUCUGACUUUGGCUCAGGUCAUGAUCUCACAAUUCAUGGGUUUGAGCCCCACAUUGGGCU
rnacentral:tRNA from 1 species